CCGAGUUUACAAACUCCCAAACCCUUUGUGAACCUUACCUAUCGUUGCUUCGGCGGGAUCGCCCCGGGCCGGCCCUUCACGGGGCCUCCGGAACCAGGCGCCCGCCGGAGAACCCAAACUCUUUGUUUUUAUGGUUUUCUCCUCUGAGUGGAUUAUGAACAAAUAAAUCA
rnacentral:misc_RNA from 1 species